UUUUUGUUCUCCCCACCUUGGUCCCUCCUCUGCUCCUGGUCUUCCCUCUUUUCCUCCUCUUCUACCAAUAUCUUCUCUUAUCUCACCAUCACCAUUAUCAUCAUCAUCACCAUCACCAUCAUCACCAUCACCAUCAUCAUCACCAUCACCAACAUCACCAUCAUCACCAUCAUCACCAUCAUCACCAUCAUCAUCAUCACCAUCACCAUCAUCAUCACCAUCAUCACCAUCAUCACCAUCACCAUCACCACCAACAUCACCAUCAUCAUCACCAACAUUACCAUCAUCAUCACCAACAUCAUCACCAUGAUCACCAUCAUCAUCACCAUCACCAACAUCACCAACAUCACCAACAUCAUCAUCACCAUCAUCACCAUCAUCACCAUCAUCACCAUCAUCAUCAUCAUCACCACCAUCACCAUCAUCAUCACCAUCACCACCAACAUCACCAUGAUCAUCACCAUCACCACCAACAUCACCAUCAUCACCACCAACAUCACCAUCAUCAUCACUAUCUCCAUCAUCAUCAUCACCAACAUCACCAUCCAUCACCACCAACAUCACCAACAUCACCAUCAUCAUCACCAUCAUCAUCACCAACAUCACCAUCAUCAUCACUAUCACCAUCACCAUCAUCACCAUCACCACCAUCAUCACCAUCAACCAUCAUCACCAUCACCAUCACCAUCACCACCAACAAUCACCAUCAUCAUCACCACAUCACCAUCAAUCAUCAUCACCAUCAUCACCACAUCACCAUCAUCAUCACACCAUCACCACCAUCACCAUCAUCACCAUGAUCAUCACCAACAUCAUCACCAUGAUCAUCACCAUCACCAGCAUCAUCACCAACAGCACCAACAUCACCAUCACCAACAUCACCAGCAUCAUCACCAACAUCACCAGCAUCAUCACCAUCAUCAUCACACCAUCAUCAUCAUCAACCAUGAUCAUCACCAUCACCACCAACAUCACCAUGAUCAUCACCAUCACCACCAACAUCACCAUCAUCAUCACCAACAUCACCAUCAUCAUCACCAACAUCACCAACAUCACAUCAUCAUCACUAUCACCAUCAUCAUCACCAUCAUCACCAACAUCACCAUCAUCACCACCAACAUCACCAACAUCACCAUCAUCAUCACCAUCACCACCAACAUCACCAUCAUCACCACCAACAUCACCAACAUCACCAUCAUCAUCACCAUCAUCAUCACCAACAUCACCAUCAUCAUCACUAUCACCAUCAUCAUCAUCACCAUCACCAUCAUCAUCACUAUCACCAUCAUCAUCAUCACCAUCACCAUCACCAUCACCAUCAUCAUUAUUUGGCACCUCUUACUUAGAUGGCUGUGUUAAAUACUUUACAUGCAUUAUUUUUAUUUACUCCUCAUAACAAUCCUAUAAAGUGAGUAAAUUAUUAUCCAUAUUUUACAGAUUAAAAGCCCGAGUCUCAGAGAGUAAAGUCACUCGUGCAGAAUC
rnacentral:lncRNA from 1 species